UGUCUGUAGCUUCCCACGUGUAAGCACUCGCUCACUUUACUUUUCCUCAUGUCAGGUGUGCACUGCGUGCAACAUAGAGAAGCUCAUCACCAUUCAUUCCAUUGUAUUCACUGCAUUUAUUUCAUCUAAUUCAGUUCAUUGGGAAGACGCUCCAUGUCGCUUCUGCGACUGAUGACACUGCAUCACCAAAUCCACUUCCAGAUGGAAGAAAUUCCCCACGUAGCUCAAAAGAACUGAAGGUUCAGUGGGUGUCCUCCAAUCGCAUGACCAAGCCAGUUUCCUCUUUUACACCGAGGAACUGGAGCGUGGUUGUCAGUGAGCUACCACCCUCUUGAGGACAAAGGCCAGCCCUGCAAGUGUCUACCUGAGCUCACUAGGCGUCUGGCCUGUAGGGUCCGCUGUAGUACGAUGAGGAGAAACAAUUCCUGCUGGUUUUGCCUCCCUAACCCAUGGGAGCGCCAGAGCUAAUGUGGCACUCCCUCUGGGAUCCCCAGUGCAGACCGGUGACUUCACACAGCCAGGACGUGAACCUGUGUUCCCCUGCAUACCACAUAGCUGUGCUUUUACCAGCAGGUAACUGUAAAAGCGGACAAUGUGGAUAACAUAUGGGAGUCACAGCACGAGAUAGGGUACCUUUCUCAAAGAGCGCGCAGGGAGAGCUGGAGGGAGGUCGCUGAUCUGGUGGUGGAAAGCAUCAAAGUGCAUCGAAAAGUGCCCUAAGGGAAACACAGCAGGACAAAACAAGGAUUGGAAAACACAAACUAACAUUGCAGUAAAUUAGAUCUGGAGGUGUUCUGGAUUCCUACCUCUUGCACUGGAAGGGGCGGAGUUGAUCAUCUGUGAUGGUGCAGAGUGGGUGGAGCUCAGGCUGGAGGAAGAGGGGCUUGCCUGGUUAACGAAGAAACAUGGCAGAUUCACGGACUAUUUUACUGUUUACAUUAGAACCAAUUGAUAUAUUUGUUUGUUUUUGAGUACCAUAUGUAAUACAGUAAUUAAUAAGAGUUCUGCGUACUUCACAUUUUCUCAUGAUGAGUUAUUAUUAAUAGACACUUUUUAUUUCAAAAUAAAAUAUAACCCAUAAUGGGCAA